GUCAAUCAAGCUCAGCUGGAAGAGCAUGAGACUCUUAAUCUCAAGGUUGUGGGUUCAGCCCCACAUGGGCUGGACU